GCCAGCCCGCUCAGAAACUCAAAGGAAUUGACGGGGGCCCGCACAAGCAGCGGAGCAUGUGGUUUAAUUCGAAGCAACGCGAAGAACCUUACCAAGACUUGACAUCCCCUGACAGCUGUUGAAAGGCAGUGUCUCUUCGGAGCAGGGAGACAGGUGGUGCAUGGUUGUCGUCAGCUCGUGUCGUGAGAUGUUGGGUUAAGUCCCGCAACGAGCGCAACCCUUAUCCUUAGUUACCAGCACGUAAAGGUGGGGACUCUAGGGAGACCGUCGGGGACGACUCGGAGGAAGGUGGGGACGACGUCAAAUCAUCAUGCCCCUUAUGUCUUGGGCUACACACGUGCUACAAUGGCCGCAACAGAGGGAAGCGAGAGCGCAAGCUGGAGCAAAACCCUAAAAAGCGGUCCCAGUUCGGAUUGUGGGCUGCAACCCGCCCACAUGAAGUCGGAGUUGCUAGUAAUCGCGAAUCAGCAUGUCGCGGUGAAUGCGUUCCCGGGCCUU
rnacentral:rRNA from 1 species